GACCUUCUUCACGUUUCUGAAACGGAGUGCGUUAUUGUUUGAGAGGGAGAAGGAGAGGAGAUUAGCUUCUCAUAGAAGUGCUCUGGUGAGGAAGGAGAGUGAGAUUUCAGAAUAGGACAGGAGGAUUCGUUAAUUGGAGACUUGAUUAUCAGAAGAGGCAGAGAGAUUGCAGGCAGCUUCUGUGGAGUUUUCAAAUUUGCAGAGAGUCAGAGGGAGGUGAAACAACGAUUUGACAUGGCUAGGAAAGAGCUAGAAUCCAUGAAGUAUCCUCCUGCUGCUAUAAAUAGCCUGAAGCUGUAGUACCACAAUCGAAGUUCAUCUACUCAGUUUCUAGGAGGCAGAGCCGCUUACGCAAGCGCCAGCACCGGCUGAGGAAUGUAAAGAGAGGCGGUGAGCUGACAUGCUCCUCCACUAAGCGCCUCUUAUGCAUGCCACCGUCGACGUCCACCGUUUGAAUACCUUCGAACACCUUUUCAAGACUGGUUCGAUGUACGCGGUGAAUGGUUGACGCGGAGAAACCUUAACUUCAAAUUGUCCAACUCUCCUUUGUCAAUAUGUUUCAGUGACUUAACCGCCUUCGCCAAAAUAACAGAACCGGUGAACCUGAUACCUCAAGUCAAGAGCUGUUCCAGUUCCGCAAUUCCGAACAGCUGCUAGGCUUGGCAAACACCAACACAUCUUCCAGGUCACUCUCUCAAACUCUGCUACUCUCACUUGCAAUCUAACCCUAUUUAGUAUUUCAAAUGUUCAUCUUCUUUCCGCAUACACUAUAGGUGAAUUAACCGCUAUUAGGGAUACUGUUGAUGAAUCCUUACAAGGCAAAGAAUCAGUACGUUUUUCUUAACUUUGCUUAUAAAGAACUCUACGGUAUCAUAAAUCAAGUAUAACUACCAAAAUAUGUUAACAUCACGUAGUUUGUCUGAAAUUCGCAAUGAUGUAUCUAUUUCCUUGAGCUGCUGCCUUUCAUAAACAAUCGUCAGACUUACAUGUUGACCUUAAAGUUAUUGUUGUAACGAGAAAAAAAAAACAAAGAUUGUAGGAGUUGCUUCCUCUUUUACAAUUUCACACAAUUGACUUUCUCUUUUGUAAUUCUUUUGCCGUGCAUUAAAAUGAAAAUAUUUUUUCAUGUGAUCACAAUACGUAAAUGGCGGCCCUGGAGAUGAUGUGCCCCGAGUUAGCACCUUCCAGCCAUGAUCAAUGUCAUGGUGAUGACAAUGAAAAAGAUCCAGCUAUUGAAACAAUCUAAGGUGGUCUGUCAGCCACUAACUCUCUGUUCUCUACGUCUUCCAAGGCAAAUAAGAAGGCACACAUUGCAUAGUUGGAGAAGGAUGCAGUUUCUUAGUCAUAGACUCACAGAAGCAGCUACUAAAAUAUUGCUUAAGCAUAGUUUUUUUGUUUUUAGUAAAACUUCAUCUGCUGUUGACAGUUAUCCUUAAACUAUAAAGACUAUUGUAUUUGGAUUUCCUCAUAUUUACCCAUAUAUCAAUGAGGAAAUAACGGUGCUACAAGCAAAUCUCAUUGACGAAUAUUACAACUUA